AUCCAACUGAUUAGUCCCAAAUAGGACGAAAUUCACGUCUAGGAU
rnacentral:hammerhead_ribozyme from 1 species